GGAGUUAGCCGGUGCUUCUUCUGUGAGUGAUGUCCUUCCUGCCGGCUAUUAACCCGCAAGGCCUUCUUCCUCACUGAAAGUGCUUUACAACCCGAAGGCCUUCUUCACACACGCGGCAUGGCUGGAUCAGGGUUGCCCCCAUUGUCCAAUAUUCCCCACUGCUGCCUCCCGUAGGAGUCUGGGCCGUGUCUCAGUCCCAGUGUGGCUGAUCAUCCUCUCAGACCAGCUACGGAUCGUCGCCUUGGUGAGCCGUUACCUCACCAACCAGCUAAUCCGACAUAGGCUCAUCCGAUAGCGCGAGGCCCGAAGGUCCCCCGCUUUCCCCCGUAGGGCGUAUGCGGUAUUAGCCUGGGUUUCCCCAGGUUAUCCCCCACUACCGGGCAGAUUCCUAUGCAUUACUCACCCGUCCGCCGCUCGCCACCAGGGAGCAAGCUCCCCGUGCUGCCGCUCGACUUGCAUGUGUUAGGCCUGCCGCCAGCGUUCAAUCUGAACCAAGAUCAAAUUCUGA
rnacentral:rRNA from 1 species